rnacentral:rRNA from 1 species
AAUGGGGGAAACCCUGACGCAGCGACGCCGCGUGAGCGAUGAAGGCCUUCGGGUCGUAAAGCUCUGUCGCAAGGGAAUAACAAAAUGAAUGUACUUUGCAAGAAAGGAUCGGCUAACUUCGUGCCAGCAGCCGCGGUAAGACCAGGGAUCCUCGCGUUGUUCGGAAUCAUUGGGCGUAAAGCGGGCGUAGGUGGNUACAUAAGUCAGAUGUGAAAGCCUUGGGCGUAACCCAAGAAGUGCAUUUGAUACUGUGUAGCUUGAGUGUGGUAGUGGCUACUAGAAUUCCUGGUGUAGUGGUGAAAUACGUAGAUAUCAGGAGGAAUACCGGAGGCGAAGGCGGGUAGCUGGGCCAACACUGACACUGAGACCCGAAAGCGUGGGGAUCAAA